GAUGAACGCUGGCGGCGUGCCUAAUACAUGCAAGUCGAGCGAACGGACGAGAAGCUUGCUUCUCUGAUGUUAGCGGCGGACGGGUGAGUAACACGUGGAUAACCUACCUAUAAGACUGGGAUAACUUCGGGAAACCGGAGCUAAUACCGGAUAAUAUUUUGAACCGCAUGGUUCAAAAGUGAAAGACGGUCUUGCUGUCACUUAUAGAUGGAUCCGCGCUGCAUUAGCUAGUUGGUAAGGUAACGGCUUACCAAGGCAACGAUGCAUAGCCGACCUGAGAGGGGAAUCGGCACACCUGGACCUGGAACACGGCCCAGAUCCCUAGGGGAGGCGGCGGUGGGAAAUUUUCCGCAAUGGGCGAAGGCCUAACGGGGCAACGCCGCGUGAGUGAUGAAGGUCUUCGGAUCGUAAAACUCUGUUAUUAGGGAAGAACAUAUGUGUAAGUAACGGUGCACAUCUGGACGGUACCUAAGCAGAAGGCCACGGCUAACUACGU
rnacentral:rRNA from 1 species